AGUGAACGCUGGCGGCGUGCCUAAUACAUGCAAGUCGAACGGAAUUUAAGAGAGCUUGCUCUUUUAAAUUUAGUGGCGCACGGGUGAGUAAUAUAUAGCUAAUCUGCCCCUUGCCGGAGGACAACAGUUAGAAAUGACUGCUAAUACUCCAUACUCCUUUUUACCAUAAGAUAAAUCGGGAAAGAAUUUCGGCAAGGGAUGAGACUAUAUCGUAUCAGCUAGUCGGUGGGGUAACGGCCUACCGAGGCUAUGACGCGUAACUGGUCUGAGAGGAUGAUCAGUCACAUUGGAACUGAGACACGGUCCAAACUCCUACGGGAGGCAGCAGUAGGGAAUAUUGCGCAAUGGGGGAAACCCUGACGCAGCAACGCCGCGUGGAGGAUGACACUUUUCGGAGCGUAAACUCCUUUUGUUAGGGAAGAA
rnacentral:rRNA from 1 species